rnacentral:rRNA from 1 species
UACGAAGGGGGCUAGCGUUGCUCGGAAUUACUGGGCGUAAAGGGCGCGUAGGCGGGUCAUUAAGUUUGUUGUUAAAUCCUCUGGCUUAACCAGAGACAAGCAAUAAAAACUGGUAACCUAGAGCGUGAGAGAGAGAAGUGGAAUUCCCGGAGUAGCGGUAAAAUGCGUAGAUCUCGGGAGGAACACCAAUGGCGAAGGCUGCUUCUUGGCUCAUUGCUGACGCUGAGGCGCGAAAGCGUGGGGAGCAAACAGG